CUGUUUAGGCUACCUAUUUAAGCGAGGAAAAGUUGAAUUUGUUUAUUCAUUUUAUUUUUCCUUUUCCUUAUUUUUUUUCUUUUCCCCGUUUUCUUUUUCCCUCCUGUGAGCUAUGUCGUGCCCUAAACCCUUCGACGCCGUCUCCUCCUCCUAACCGGCGCCCGACGACUUGCCCUAACCGCCACAAGCGGCGGUUUUCUCCUUCCCUUCUAUUUCUCUUCUUCCUGCCCGAGCCCCUCUUCUCUUCUGGUGCCGAUCAGUGUGUGUGUGCCCUAGCGUCGCGCCGGUACCGGCCGCCUCCUCCUCUUCGCCGAGACCCCCUUCUCUUCCUCCUCGCCGGGCGACGACGCCGACGCCGAUCACAGCCAACGUCGCUGCCGCCACUUGAGGCCGCACCACUGUGAGUCAAUCGUUGUUGUGCCCUAGAUCUGCAACGCGCCGCCGUCUCUUUGCCUUAGCCGAAUCCCUUCCACCGCCGGUAGCCCGAGUUCCUCCCACCAGCCGCCGAACUUGCGUGCCCUAGGUUCCUCUCCUUUGUUUCGGCCGGAAUCCCCUCUGCCCUAGUUCCUUACUGCCGAGCCAACAAGUGACGGCAACAAAACUAAGACAGCAGUAACUCCGGCCACAGUUUCCAACAGUUGCCUCUAUUCCGGCAGCCCUCAUUCCAGCAAUAAACGAUCAGCAAUAAUCAAUGGCUGUGAUUUGAGGGUUUUGAUGCGAGACGAGUAUCUCGAUUACCGGAUUGGACCAUUUUAUUGGAGGCGGG